CGGGUGUUCAGCUCUCUGUCAAGUUCACUCCUCCUUAAUGGUGCCACUUCACUCUGCUACUGGAUGGUGGAGGGCUGACUGCGAACGGGUGGUCUAUGAAUGCUAUACUGAAUGGAUAGCAGGGAAGCACAUGAAUUUCUAAAUGAAGAAGAGUUAAUAAAUGCACUUGAUUUUCAAACUGA